rnacentral:rRNA from 1 species
GACGAACGCUGGCGGCGUGCUUAACACAUGCAAGUCGAACGGAAAGGCCCUGCUUUUGUGGGGUGCUCGAGUGGCGAACGGAUGAGUAACACGUGAGUAACCUGCCCUUGACUUUGGGAUAACUUCAGGAAACUGGGGCUAAUACCGGAUAGGAGCUCCUGCUGCAUGGUGGGGUUGGAAAGUUUCGGCGGUUGGGGAUGGACUCGCGGCUUAUCAGCUUGUUGGUGGGGUAGUGGCUUACCAAGGCUUUGACGGGUAGCCGGCCUGAGAGGGUGACCGGCCACAUUGGGACUGAGAUACGGCCCAGACUCCUACGGGAGGCAGCAGUGGGGAAUAUUGCACAAUGGGCGGAAGCCUGAUGCAGCAACGCCGCGUGCGGGAUGACGGCCUUCGGGUUGUAAACCGCUUUCGCCUGUGACGAAGCGUGAGUGACGGUAAUGGGUAAAGAAGCACCGGCUAACUACGUG